AGGGUAAUAGCUCAGUGGAAGAGUACAUGGUUAGCAUCCAUGAGGUCCUGGAUUCAAUCCCCAGUACCUCCA
rnacentral:tRNA from 1 species